UACGUAGGGUGCAAGCGUUGUCCGGAAUUAUUGGGCGUAAAGAGCUCGUAGGCGGUUCGGCAAGUCGGAUGUGAAAAUCUCCACGCUUAACGUGGAGGGGCCAUUCGAAAACUGCCGUGACUCGAGUCCGGUAGGGGAGUUCGGAAUUCCCGGUGUAGCGGUGAAAUGCGCAGAUAUCGGGAGGAACACCGAUGGCGAAGGCAGGUCUCUGGGCCACUACUGACGCUGAGAAAGCGAAAAGCGUGGGGGAGCGAAACAGG
rnacentral:rRNA from 1 species